rnacentral:rRNA from 2 species
GACGGAGGAUGCAAGUGUUAUCCGGAAUCACUGGGCGUAAAGCGUCUGUAGGUGGUUUAAAAAGUCUGCUGUUAAAGAUUGAAGCUCAACUUCAAAGAUGCUGUAGAAACUUUUAAACUUGAGGAUGGUAGGGGUCGAGGGAAUUUCCAGUGGAGCGGUGAAAUGCGUAGAUCUUGGAAAGACCGCCAAUGGCGAAGGCACUCGACUGGGCCAUUACUGACACUGAGAGACGAAAGCUAGGGGAGCAAAUGGG